rnacentral:rRNA from 1 species
UACGGAGGGUGCAAGCGUUAUCCGGAUUCACUGGGUUUAAAGGGUGCGUAGGUGGGUUGGUAAGUCAGUGGUGAAAUCUCCGAGCUUAACUUGGAAACUGCCAUUGAUACUAUCAGUCUUGAAUACCGUGGAGGUCAGCGGAAUAUGUCAUGUAGCGGUGAAAUGCUUAGAUAUGACAUAGAACACCAAUUGCGAAGGCAGCUGGCUACGCAUAUAUUGACACUGAGGCUCGAAAGCGUGGGGAUCAAACAGG